CCACAAGCAUAUGAUCUUUGCUCCACAAGGUUGUACUUUGACAAGGCAUGAUGCUCUUUUUUGUGUAAGUUGACGAACUCUGGUGAAUGAAUUGCAUUUUGUUUCCUUUAAUCAUGACAGUGUACACGAGUAUUUGGCUAAUUAUUAUUGCUUAAUUUAUGUUUCCAUCAAAACAGCGAAUUUGCAUACGUCUAAUUGAUAUUUGAACUGAUGGUAUAAAGUAGUUUUGAUCUCAAAAUAUUGAGAAGACAUGGAUUCAACUAGGGAGGAGUAGAGGAAGACCAUGCAAAUGAGGGAUAUGUAAGAUAUGUGUCCUAGCACCUUUCAUAAGGAGUUUUUUUAAGGAGAUGUUCAUAAUAAACCAAUUCUGAAAGUGACUUUUCUAGCAAGCAUCUAGCAAGGGUGACAUGGCAUGUAUCAUCACAAAUAUACAAUGACAAGUGAUGUGUAUUUGUUCUUCCAUUGUUACUUUGGGUUUAUUUUAACAUAUCUCCAUAGUGAUUUGCUACAAGUUAAUUAUUUUUGUUUUUUGUUUUUUGUGAAAGUUUUGGCGGGCUGUGAGCUGGAUGUGCUAUUAGUCAUGGUGCCGAGCUUGGAUUGAGGAGAUGGAUAGAAGAAGGUCAAUGCGCUUGAGGAGGCGGCAAUAGCACACCUGUGGUCCAAAUCUAGGUGAAUUAUUGUGGCUGAUCUAGAGGCCUGUCUAGAGAACGGCAGGGCCACAACGUUCGUGCAGCGGUGGCUGUACACACCAUCCGGAGGCGAGCAACGGCUGCGCUGGCAGCCGCUUGGAAGGGAAGCGAAGGUCAUGGAGGAGGAGGCUAUGCAUGGCCGAGGAGCAGGUCGUGCGCUGCCGCAGGGACGGGAGAGCCGGCGCCGGCUCCAAGUACGCCAUCAUCCAAGUUGCACUUGGGCUUCCCUCCAGCAGGUCCACACCGUAUCUUAGGUCAUGAUCGGGCUGACAGCGGUUUGUCCACUACACUCGACCAUGUGCUCAGCUGACCUCGAUGCCCAUAUUUUCCUAGACACCAUGGCACGAGUACCAACCUCACAGGCUGAACUGAUGGAUGUUGGUAUUUUGAUCUUGCUAUGUCAAAUAGUAUGAUGUAAUCUAUGGAGCUGAAGCUAUAGCUAGAUCUUGAUCUUACUGUCAUAUCCGUGUCAAGCACAAGCCGGCGCCUCUAUUUCCGGAUUGACAGCACACGAUGAGAAGAAGACAUGGUUUACCUCAGAGCUGGGGACUACAGAGGAUAGCGUCUUUGUGAAUUCAGAUAAGAAUAAUAUUGGAGAGCACCGCACGCAACAGUGGUCAAGGGCUUAGUGUCUGUUGACCUUGUCCGUGGCCGCUGUUGGUCGGUGAAGGAGGCAUGCAUGAGGUGGUGCAAGGGCAUGCUGGUGACGGAGUCGCGCAUGAUGAGGCCGGGUGAGUAACGCUCGGGAACUGCCGGGCGCUCAGACUGACGCGGGAUGGGGUUGGCGCGGUGACUCAAGGAGGAGGAUGUAGUUAUGGGGGAGGGAGUGACGAUGGAGGGGCUUCGAUGGCCCGAUGAGACCCUACAUCAUAAUCAAGGAGGACCCUACAUCUAAAGGAAACAGAGCAAUCUAUAUCAUUAGUCUAUUACUGGAUUUCUAGAAGGAAAAAGGGAUAAAUGGUUGUUUCUGCUACUCUACAUUUGCUUUAAAAUUGGUGUACAUAUAUCAAGAAGAACUUGGUUGCAAAAGUGAUCAAACAUAAGAGAAAACACAAACACAUUGGUUUUGUAAUUAAAUGCCUAAGAUCUUAUAAUUUUGAAUUAAAUUGUUUGAUUAUACAAUCAGUUCACAUUA